GUGUCCGUGGUGUAGCGGCAGCACAUCUCCUUGUGACGGAGACGGCGCCGGUUCGAAUCCGGUCGGACACCCCA
rnacentral:tRNA from 1 species